AGGACGAACGCUGGCGGCGUGCCUAACACAUGCAAGUCGAGCGGGGACAUACGACGGAUAGGAAGUUUCGGAUGGAAUUGAAGAUGUAUUGUUCUAGCGGCGGACGGGUGAGUAACGCGUGAGCAACCUGUCCCUUACAGGGGGAUAACACAGCGAAAGUUGUACUAAUACCGCAUAAGACCACGGGGAGACAUCUUCCAGGGGUCAAAGGAGCAAUCCGGUAAGGGGUGGGCUCGCGUCCGAUUAGAUAGUUGGUGAGGUAACGGCCCACCAAGUCGACGAUCGGUAGCCGACCUGAGAGGGUGAUCGGCCACAUUGGGACUGAGGCACGGCCCAAACUCCUACGGGAGGCAGCAGUGGGGAAUAUUGGGCCAAUGGGGGAAACCCUGACCCAGCAACGCCGCGGGAGGGAAGAAGGUUUUCGGAUCGUAAACCUCUGUCCUUGGUGAAGAGGAAGAGACGGUAGCCAAGGAGGAAGCCCCGGCUAACUACGUGCCAGCCGCCGC
rnacentral:rRNA from 1 species